rnacentral:rRNA from 1 species
AGUGAACGCUGACGGUAGGCCUAACACAUGCAAGUCGAACGGCAGCACAGGAGAGCUUGCUCUCUGGGUGGCGAGUGGCGGACGGGUGAGGAAUACAUCGGAAUCUACCUUUUCGUGGGGGAUAACGUAGGGAAACUUACGCUAAUACCGCAUACGACCUACGGGUGAAAGUGGGGGACCGCAAGGCCUCACGCGAUUAG